CAGUCGCCGCGGGAAUACGAAGGGUGCAAGCGUUAAUCGGAAUUACUGGGCGUAAAGCGUACGCAGGCGGUUUGUUAAGUCAGAUGUGAAAUCCCCGAGCUUAACUCGGGAACUGCAUUUGAAACUGGCAGGCUAGAGUCUCGUAGAGGGGGGUAGAAUUCCAGGUGUAGCGGUGAAAUGCGUAGAGAUCUGGAGGAAUACCGGUGGCGAAGGCGGCCCCCUGGACGAAGACUGACGCUCAGGUACGAAAGCGUGGGGAGCAAACAGGAUUAGAGACCCCAGUAGUCCCUGUCUCUUAUAC
rnacentral:rRNA from 1 species